rnacentral:lncRNA from 1 species
UGUGUGAGCCUUUUGUACGAUUGGUUAGAUCCAAAGCAAGGGUUCGUGUGAGCCUUUUGUACGAUUGGUUAGAUCCAAACCAAGGGUUCGUGUGAGCCUUUUGUACGAGUGGUUAGAUCCAAACAAAGGGUUCGUGUGAGCCUUUUUGUACGAUUGGUUAGAUCCAAAUCAAGGGUUCGUGAGAGCCUUUUGUACGAUUCGUUAGAUCCAAACCAAGGGUUCGUGUGAGCCAUUUGUAAGAUUAGUUAGAUCAAAAGCAAGGGUUCAUGUGAGCCUUUUGUUCGAUUGGUUAGAUCCAAAGCAAGGGUUCGUGUGAGCCUUUUGUACGAUUGGUUAGAUCCAAACCAAGGGUUCGUGUGCGCCUUGUGUGAGAUUGGUUAGAUCCAAAUCGAGAGUUUGUGUGAGCCUUUUGUACGAUUGGUUAGAUCCAAAGCAAGGGUUCGUGUUAGUUUUUUGUACGAUUGGUUAGAUCCAAAGCAAGGCCUAGGGUUCGUGUGAGCCUUGCGUACAAUUGGAUGGAUCCAAAACAAGGGUUCGUGUGAGCCUUAAUUUUGUACGAUUUGUUAGAUCCAAAUCAAGGGUUCGUGUGAGCCUUUUGUACGAUUGGUUAUAUCCAAAUUAAGGGUUCGUGUGAGCCUUUUGUACGAUUGGUUAUAUCCAAAUUAAGGGUUCGUGUGAGCCUUUUGUACGAUUUGUAAGAUCCAAAGCAAGGGUUCGUGUUAGCCUUUUGUACGAUUGGUUAGAUCCAAACCAAGGGUUCGUGUGCGCCUUAUGUGAGAUUGGUUAGAUCCAAAUCAAGAGUUUGUGUGAGCCUUUUGUACGAUUGGUUAGAUCCAAAGCAAGGGUUCGUGUGAGCCUUUUGUACGAUUGGUUAGAUCCAAACCAAGGGUUCGUGUGAGCCUUUUGUACGAGUGGUUAGAUCCAAACAAAGGGUUCGUGUGAGCCUUUUUGUACGAUUGGUUAGAUCCAAAUCAAGGGUUCGUGAGAGCCUUUUGUACGAUUCGUUAGAUCCAAACCAAGGGUUCGUGUGAGCCAUUUGUAAGAUUAGUUAG